rnacentral:misc_RNA from 1 species
GCACUUAUAGCUCAGUUGG